ensembl:lncRNA
AUGGUCUCCUCUCCACCUCACCUCUCAUCCUCUCCUCUCCUCUGGUCGUCUCCUCCCUUCUCUCCUCCUAUCAUCUCCUCUGGUCUAUCAUCUCUAUCGUCCGCUACUCUCCUCUGGUCUUCUCCUCCUUUCUCUCCUCCUAUCAUCUCCUCUGUUCUUCUCCCAUCUCUCUCGUCCGCUACUCUCCUCUGGUCUUCUCCUCCUUUCUCUCCUCCUAUCAUCUCCUCUGGUCUAUCAUCUCUCUCGUCCGCUACUGUCCUCUGGUCUUCUCCUCCUUUCUCUCCUCCUAUCAUCUCCUCUGGUCUAUCAUCUCUAUCGUCCGCUACUGUCCUCUGGUCUUCUCCUCCUUUCUCUCCUCCUAUCAUCUCCUCUGGUCUAUCAUCUCUCUCAUCCGCUACUGUCCUCUGGUCUUCUCCUCCUUUCUCUCCUCCUAUCAUCUCCUCUGGUCUAUCAUCUCUCUCAUCCGCUACUGUCCUCUGGUCUUCUCCUCCUUUCUCUCCUCCUAUCAUCUCCUCUGGUCUAUCAUCUCUCUCGUCCGCUACUUUCCUCUGGUCUUCUCCUCCUUUCUCUCCUCCUAUCAACUCCUCUGGUCUAUCAUCUCUCUCAUCCGCUCCUGUCCUCUGGUCUUCUCCUCCUUUCUCUCCUCCUUUCAUCUCCUCUGGUCUAUCAUCUCUCUCAUCCGCUACUGUCCUCUGGUCUUCUCCUCCUUUCUCUCCUCCUAUCAUCUCCUCUGGUCUAUCAUCUCUCUCGUCCGCUACUGUCCUCUGGUCUUCUCCUCCUUUCUCUCCUCCUAUCAUCUCCUCUGGUCUAUCAUCUCUAUCGUCCGCUACUGUCCUCUGGUCUUCUCCUCCUUUCUCUCCUCCUAUCAUCUCCUCUGGUCUUCUCUCAUCUCUCUCGUCCGCUACUGUCCUCUGGUCUUCUCCUCCUUUCUCUCCUCCUAUCAUCUUCUCUGGUCUAUCAUCUCCUCUUCUUUUCUCACUUCUCCUCCUCAUUCUCCUCCUCUCCUCUCCUCUUCUUUUCUUUUCCCCCAUCUCCUCUCCUAUUCUCCUCCUCUCCUCUCUUUUCUUCUUUCUCCCCCCCUCCUCUCCUUUUUUCUCCACUCUUUUUCUCUUUUCUCCUUUCCUCUCCUCGUAUCCUCCGUUCUCUCCUUCUAUCAUCUCCUCUGGUCUUCUCUCAUCCUCUCCUGUCCUCUCCUCGUAUUCUCUGUUCUCUCCUUCUAUCAUCUCCUCUGGUCUUCUAUCAUCUCCUCUUCGGUUCUCUCUUUUCUUUCCCAUUCUCCUCCUCUCCUCUGCUCUUGUUUUCUUUCUCCCCCUCUCCUGUACUCUCUCCAUUAAUCUUUUCUUCUUUCUCCCCCCCUCCUCUCCUUUUUUGUCCACUCUUUUUCUCUUUUCUCCUGUCCUCUCCUCGUAUCCUCCGUUCUCUCCUUCUAUCAUCUCCUCUGGUCUUCUCUCAUCCUCUCCUGUCCUCUCCUCGUAUUCUCUGUUCUCUCCUUCUAUCAUCUCCUCUGGUCUCCUAUCAUCUCCUCUUCGGUUCUCUCUUUUCUUUCCCAUUCUCCUCCUUUCCUCUGCUCUUGUUUUCUUUCUCCCCCUCUCCUGUCCUCUCUCCUCUAAUUUUUUCUUCUUUCUCCCCCCCUCCUCUCCUUUUUUCUCCACUCUUUUUCUCUUUUCUCCUUUCCUCUCUUCGUAUCCUCCGUUCUCUCCUCCUAUCAUCUCCUCUGGUCGUCCCUCAUCGCCUCUCUCCUCUCCCGUCCUCUCUUCGUAUCCUCCGUUCUCUCCUCCUAUCAUCUCCUCUGGUCUUCCCUCAUCGCCUCUCUCCUCUCCCGUCCUCUCCUCGUAUCCUCCGUUCUCUCCUCCUAUCAUCUCCUCUGGUCUUCCCUCAUCGCUCUCGUCCUCUCCUGUCCAGUCCUCGUCUCUUCCGUUUUUUCCUGUUCUCAUCUCCCGUGGUCUUCUCUCAUCUUCUCUGGUCCUCUCCCUUCUCCUCCCCGUUCUCCUGCUCUCCUCUCCUCUCGUCUUCUUUCUCCCCCUCUCCUGUACUCUCUCCUCUAUUUUUUUCUUCUUUCUCUCCCCCUCUCCUUUUUUCUCCACUCUUUCUCUUUUUUCACCUUUCCUCUCCUCGUAUCCUCUGUUCUCUACUUCCAUCUCCUCUCCUAUCCUCUCCUCGUAUCCUCCGUUCUCUACCUCCAUCUCCUCUUCUAUACCCUUCUCUUCGCGUAGAUCAAGUGAUGUUCUAUCGUAG